CAUCGUGCUUGGACUAAAAUCGUGCUUAGAUUAACAUCCAAAUUAGCUCUAAUUCAGAAACCGCUUUUAAAAGUCUUACUAUUCCUUCCCAGUAUCUGUCCCUUUCUUCUCUGGUUGCCGCUGCCGCUGCCGCUGCCGUGUUACUCUUCCAACGCUGCCAUUCAACACUGUCGUCGGAUAGUUAAAAUCAGGUUUUGAUGGGUGCUAGAAUUGACACCGCUUGUGAUAAUCUUAUGAUUCAGGCUCCAACAUAUAGUUUCUGAAGCAUGAUGAGGCAGCAGCGCGCUCAGAAGCUUGCAAAAGUCAACAAAGUCUUUAUUAAGAUAAAUUGUAUAGUAGCUCUCAGCUCAUAAUCAUCUUGAAAAUGUUCUCAAAUUAUAAAUCAAAUUUAAGAUUUGGGUUCUCACCCGAGCUUGUCGUUGGAAAAGAGGACAUAUCUCUCAUCUUACCAUUUUGAUAAACUAGAAGUGUCUAAUAUAAAUUAGAGGAAAAGGAAGCAGAUAGAUGUUUGUUGUAUUACUUAAUCUUUUUUUGUUAGU